GUAGUCAUAUGCUUGUCUCAAAGAUUAAGCCAUGCAUGUCUAAGUAUAAGCAAUCUAUACUGUGAAACUGCGAAUGGCUCAUUAAAUCAGUUAUCGUUUAUUUGAUAGUACCUUACUACUUGGAUAACCGUGGUAAUUCUAGAGCUAAUACAUGCUAAAAACCCCAACUUCGGAAGGGGUGUAUUUAUUAGAUAAAAAACCAAUGCCCUUCGGGGCUCUUUGGUGAUUCAUAAUAACUUAACGAAUCGCAUGGCCUUGUGCCGGCGAUGGUUCAUUCAAAUUUCUGCCCUAUCAACUUUCGAUGGUAGGAUAGUGGCCUACCAUGGUUUCAACGGGUAACGGGGAAU
rnacentral:rRNA from 1 species